GAUAAUGUGAGUCGCUGGCACACCUACAGCCCCUACUGCGAUAGGCAGUCAAGUAUUUUUAACCUGCACAUUUUUGUUUUUAUUUCCCCUAUUUUAUUUUAUGUUCAUAAAUAUCAUGACUUUUAAUGUUGGAAGGAGUUGAGAGUCCCCACUCAACUGCAUGCCUUCUGAAUAAUAAUUAUAGACUCCAUUUUACAUGCUACCAUUUUACCUGUGAGAAUUUUUUGAAAAUUUUGAGAUUUGAA